UACAGAGGUCCCGAGCGUUGUUCGGAUUCACUGGGCGUAAAGGGCGCGUAGGCGGUCACGCACGUCCGUUGUGAAAUCGCUCGGCUCAACUGGGCGGGGUCAGCGGAUACGGCGUGGCUGGAGCAAGCUAGGGGGCAAUGGAAUUCCCGGUGUAGUGGUGGAAUGCGUAGAUAUCGGGAGGAACACCAGUGGCGAAGGCGGUUGCCUGGAGCUUUGCUGACGCUGAUGCGCGAAAGCGUAGGGAGCGAUCCGG
rnacentral:rRNA from 1 species